UCAACGGAGAGUUUGAUCCUGGCUCAGGACGAACGCUGGCGGCGUGCUUAACACAUGCAAGUCGAACGGUAAGGCUCUUCGGAGUACACGAGUGGCGAACGGGUGAGUAACACGUGAGCAAUCUGCCCUUGACACUGGGAUAACAGUUGGAAACAGCUGCUAAUACCGGAUACGACCUUUGAGGACAUCCUCGAAGGUGGAAAGCUCCGACGGUCAAGGAUGAGCUCGCGGCCUAUCAGCUUGUUGGUGAGGUAACGGCCCACCAAGGCGACGACGGGUAGCCGGCCUGAGAGGGCGACCGGCCACACUGGGACUGAGAUACGGCCCAGACUCCUACGGGAGGCAGCAGUGGGGAAUAUUGCACAAUGGGCGAAAGCCU
rnacentral:rRNA from 1 species